GUACUCACUCCCUUCGAUGGCACAUAUACUAAAAUUGGAACGAUACAGAGAAGAUUAGCAUGGCCUCUGCGCAAUGAUGAGAUGCAAAGCAUGUGAAGCAUUCCAUGUUUUU